rnacentral:misc_RNA from 1 species
CAACGGCCUUCUCUUGGCGGCAGAACAGCAGAUGAAAUUCGUAUUUUGAGGAGUAAGAGGAAAAAAAAGAAAGAAAAAUUUAAAAAAAUCCAGCCAAACGAAAGCGGGAAAAAAAAAUUCGGAAUCAAACAGUUGGGUGUGAUGCAGGGAGGGCCGGAAGUAGGUUUUGGAAGAGGAAGAAACAAUAUCGGUGAUAUUUUUCACUGUGCGGACAAAGGGGGAAGGGAAAGUGUGCGGUGAAAGUGAAUUCGAAUGUAUUGUACGUAGAUUUUGUUACUUGUCAUGCUUACUCUAUCCACGUCUAUAGCCGAUUACUGUAUUUAUUUAUUAGAAAUGGAAUUUAUUAUAAAAAACAUAGUUUCAGAAUUUAAAUAUUCUGCUUUGAUUUAAUUGAACUUUGAUUUUCAAGAAAAGAAUAUUUUAAUAUACAAAAUAAAUGAAAAUUCUCAAGCAAUUUCCAAAAGGAAACAGCCCAUCAAACGAAGACAUAGAAGUGGUUUAAAACCUAUGAAACAUUCGAACAUUUAUUUUAUGUAUAAAAGAAAUCUAUUAACAAAAAUCUGUGACUAUAAAAAAGUAGUUUGUGACUGAAAUUUAAUCCAACUUUGGCAGCAUUUGAUUUAUUCCUCAUGAAGACAGGAUACAAGGUUUAAGCGAAAAGUCAAAAUCCUUUUAUGUCCAAGAGAACGUCAAGACCUGUUUCACUGAUCAAACAGACUGGCAAAACGAAGUCAGACGUCAAGAAAGUAAACGAGCCCAUCUUUGUGUUUCUUGCCACCGUG